rnacentral:rRNA from 1 species
CCCUUAGAUGUUCUGGGCCGCACGCGCGCUACACUGAUGCAUUCAACAAGCCUAGCCUUGACCGAGAGGUCCGGGUAAUCUUUGAAACUGCAUCGUGAUGGGGCUAGAUUAUUGCAAUUAUUAAUCUUCAACGAGGAAUGCCUAGUAAGCGUGAUUCAUCAAAUCGCGUUGAUUACGUCCCUGCCCUUUGUACACACCGCCCGUCGCACCUACCGAUUGAAUGGUCCGGUGAAAUCUCGGGACGGCGGCUUGGUCGCUUGCGUCCGACUGCUGAAACUUGAUUAAACCAUAUCAUUUAGAGGAAGGUGAAGUCGUANCA